rnacentral:piRNA from 1 species
UUGCCACAAAUUCUGGGAGAGGAAAACCU